CAAUCCAACGAAAAAAACAGAGUAAAGCUUCGAUUUUGAAGCAAAACCAGAUGAGAAAACAGAGUAAAUUUCGAUUUUGAAGCAAACCCAGAUGAAAAAACAGAUUAAAACAUCGAUUUGAAGCAAACCCAGAUGAGAAAACAGAGCUAAAAUCGAAUUUGAAGCU